GGAAAGGUGAAAAGAACCCCGAACAGGGGAGUGAAAUAGAACCUGAAACCAUACGCUUACAACCGGUCGGAGCAGCUUCGUGCUGUGACGGCGUGCCUAUUGAAUAAUGAGCCUACGAGUUACUAAUCACUAGCGAGGUUAAGUGCAAGGAUGCACGGAGCCGAAGCGAAAGCGAGUCUGAACAGGGCGUUUAGUUAGUGGUUGUAGACGCGAAACCUUGCGAUCUACCCUUGAGCAGGUUGAAGGUUGGGUAAAACCAACUGGAGGACCGAACGAAUAAGCGUUGAAAAGCUUCUCGAUGACUUGAGGGUAGGGGUGAAAGGCUAAUCAAGCUGGGAAAUAGCUCGUACUCCCCGAAAUGCCUUUUGGGGCAGCGUUGUAAUAAAGAGUCUACUGGAGGUAGAGCUACUGAUUGGAUGCGGGGGCUUCACCGCCUACCAAAUCCUGACAAACUCCGAAUGCCAGUAGUAUGAUUUACAGCAGUGAGUGACUGGGUGCUAAUGUCCAGUCGCAAAAGAGGAACAACUCAGACCAGCAACUAAGGUCCCGAAGAAUAUGCUAAGUUGAUCUAACGAUGUUUUGUUGCAGAGACAGCUAGGAUGUUAGCUUGGAAGCAGCUAUUCAUUCAAAGAGUGCGUAACAGCUCACUAGUCGAGCGACAGAGCGUGGAUAAUAAACGGGCAUCAAGCAUAUCACCGAAGUUCUGGGCGCGAGAGCGCGGUAGGGGAGCAUUCCAUUCAGCGUCGAAGCAGUUUCGUGAGGAAUUGUGGAGCGUAUGGAAAAGCAAAUGUAGGCAUGAGUAACGAUAAUGCGGGAGAGUAACCCGCACACCGCAAGACCAAGGUUUCCUGAUCAACGCUAAUCGGAUCAGGGUUAGUCGGGUCCUAAGGGUAAGCCGAACGGCGAUCUCGAUGGAUAAUCGGUUAAUAUUCCGAUACUAACAUAUACCUCGAUGGAGAGACGAAGGAACGUAAGUGCCGCCACCUGACGGAAUAGGUGGUUAAAGGGCGUAGGUAUAGGGGCAGAUUAAGAGUUAGUCCUUGCUGAAACCUGACAGUACAGAGAGCCUACGGGCAAUUUGAUAGAGCACCCAAGUCGACUUCCGAGAAAAUCUUCUAAGUUAUAGUAUAUGUUACCCGUACCGUAAACCGACACAGGUGGUCGAGGAGAGUAUCCUAAGGUGCUCGAGUGAAUCACGGUUAAGGAACUAGGCAAAUUAACCCCGUAACUUCGGGAAAAGGGGUCCCUAUGAAAGUAGGGCGCAGCGAAGAGGUCCAGGCGACUGUUUAUCAAAAACACAGGGCUCUGCAAAUUCGAAAGAAGACGUAUAGGGCCUGACACCUGCCCGGUGCUGGAAGGUUAAGAGGGGAUGUCAUCGCAAGAGAAGCAUUGAAUCGAAGCCCCAGUAAACGGCGGCCGUAACUAUAACGGUCCUAAGGUAGCGAAAUUCCUUGUCGGGUAAGUUCCGACCUGCACGAAUGGUGUAACGAUCUGGACACUGUCUCAACCGUGAGCUCGGUGAAAUUGUAGUCCCGGUGAAGAUGCCGGGUACCCGCAACGGGACGAAAAGACCCCGUGAACCUUUACUAUAGCUUAACGCUGAAUUUGGGUACACAAUGUGUAGGAUAGGC
rnacentral:rRNA from 1 species